rnacentral:piRNA from 1 species
UGUGCUUUCAACUGGAAACAGUCAAACUUAC